UACGAAGGGGGCUAGCGUUGCUCGGAAUCACUGGGCGUAAAGCGCACGUAGGCGGAUCUUUAAGUCAGGGGUGAAAUCCUGGAGCUCAACUCCAGAACUGCCUUUGAUACUGGGGAUCUCGAGUCCGGGAGAGGUGAGUGGAACUCCGAGUGUAGAGGUGAAAUUCGUAGAUAUUCGGAAGAACACCAGUGGCGAAGGCGAACUUCCUGGCCUGUUCUUGACGCUGAGGCGCGAAAGCUAGGGGAGCAAACGGGG
rnacentral:rRNA from 1 species